ACUAGCUACUUCAAGGAGCGGUCAUCGAAUUUUCGCGGGCGAAAUUCAAGUCCACGUGAUCGGGAGUACCGCGUGAGGUCGAACAAUUUCCCGCAAACAUUUUCCAACAGGAUUCGAAGCUUUGAGCAAAAGAAAGAAGCGAAAACUUAGUUUGAACCCGAUUUCUGUGUGAGCUUCAUGCAUCGUUACACUACUGUAAAGGAAUCACGUUUUUUUUGCCCGUAAAAUUCGGCUCAUAACGUGAUGGCACCGGAAAAGGACAGCAGCACGCGCUUCAAGAACCAAUUCAACAGGAAGGAACACAACAUGGAGAAACAGACAGUGAUCACGGAGAAUAAAAGGAAAUUGGAUCAAGACAGGGUACAGGCACCACAGCUCAACAUUUCUGACAUGAUUAUGGCUUUGAUGACACCAUCAUGAUGUUCUGGAAAAAACAGCCUGGAUACAUUAGGAUUUAAGAUGUGCAGCAAGACGGAGAGAAACGAAAGGGGCUUGUGAGUGCUCCAGAUGGUUCCAACGCUCCACAGAGAACUAGGCCUCAUUGUUUGAUUUUUUUUGUACGUUUUAAUUAGCUGCAAGAAAAAGAAAGGAAAAACUUGUAGGUUUUCUUUAAAGAGUGGGUGACUGACUGUUGUCAAGAAGAAUUUGCGUCUACUGAGUGAAAAGUUAAUAAAUUACCAGACAGCAAAAAUGAUACAUCUCUCAUUUAGGGAUGCACAAUAGUCAAAAUUGAUAUUGGAUACUGAAUGUACUGUACAUGCUAAUUUAUCCAAUUUUACAUUAACAUAACUUUUACUGUCAUGUAACGCUCAUUUAAAGUUAAACGGUGGUUCAUCCACCGUCAAGUCAUUUCAAAUCUAUUUUUUGUCCACCCAUUGAAAGUCAACAUUUUUAAGCUUCACACGCACGUUUGGACUUCUGUUUACCAUAUUUAAUUUGCUCUUUAAAUUGUUUAUAUGAGCAAUGUUUAUAUAUGAAUAAAAGCCUAAAUUAAAUCUGUUCAUAAAGCA